rnacentral:rRNA from 1 species
GACGUAGGGCGCAAGCGUUGUCCGGAUUUAUUGGGCGUAAAGAGCUCGUAGGCGGCUUGUCGCGUCGACUGUGAAAACCCGCAGCUUAACUGCGGGACUGCAGUCGAUACGGGCAGGCUAGAGUUCGGUAGGGGAGACUGGAAUUCCUGGUGUAGCGGUGAAAUGCGCAGAUAUCGUAAGGAAGACCAGUGGCGAAGGCGGGUCGUCUGGACAGUUCCUGACGCUGAGGCACGAAGGUCAGGGGAGCAAACGGG